CCCCUCACAGGGUCACACCUGGAGAGUUUCCAGACCUCUACCAGUCUUGACUACAGGAGGGAGAAUCAAGCAGAGGUGUAUGCAUUCCAUUCCUAGCUUGGGCAGUGGCUAGUGAGUGGAAGGCCAUCUGCUUCAAGU